AUACGGAGGAUCCGAGCGUUAUCCGGAUUUAUUGGGUUUAAAGGGUGCGCAGGCGGGAGAUUAAGUCGGCGGUGAAAUUUUGCAGCUCAACUGCAAAAGUGCCUUCGAAACUGGUUUCCUUGAGUGUAGAUGAAGUAGGCGGAAUUUGUGGUGUAGCGGUGAAAUGCAUAGAUAUCACGAAGAACUCCGAUUGCGCAGGCAGCUUACUAAACUACUACUGACGCUCAGGCACGAAGGCGUGGGGAUCAAACAGGAUUAGAUACCCUGGUAGUCCACGCAGUAAACGAUGAUUACUGGCUGUUUGCGAUACAAUGUAAGCGGCUGAGCGAAAGCGAAAAGUAAUCCACCUGGGGAGUACGUUCGCAAGAAUGAAACUCAAAGGAAUUGACGGGG
rnacentral:rRNA from 1 species